UCACUCAACUCCUUCUCCCCUGACGGCACCGCCUCGACCUCUGACCCUGCGCCGGCUCCGGCUCCGCCCCCUUGACCCGCUGACCUCACGGCUGCCCUUCCCCCCCCCGGCACUUGGCCGCCCGGCGCGUGCGCAAGUUGUUGCUGGCAGCAGAAGAAGGGGAUUCCCUGUUGUUAUAUUGCAUCAGAUCUGCCCUGUCUUUGAAGACAAGAGGGCAGCAGUGUGUUUCUUUAUCCCGGGCACAAUUUAAGUCAAAAAAAAAGAUUUGCGCUGGCGUAGGGUUUUUCACAACCACCCGACUUCCAAACUUGACAGCUGACGAAGGGCUUUUGAAACGCAGUCAACACUCGCAAUACCGGAAAUGCAGCAUCCACCUUUGUACAAACUCUACAAACACCAACUUUCUAAUGACGACCCAGUCUAAUGUCGAGAUGUUCAUUGCGAAAUAAAUAUUGGCCAAGGAAAAAGAGAUAACCUCCACGAAAUUUGUCAAAAUAGUGCUGUAAGGUCUUUUACAUGUACCAGAGGCAGAUGGAUCCCCAGGCAUCUCAACCAAUGACAAGAGUUCUAGAAGUGCAGGAUUUUAUCAGACCUUCAUGAAGAUCCAGCCUUGGUGUAUCUACUAAGUUCCUGGAGUGGGAUAUAUCACAGAAUCAUUGAUCUGUUUUAGUGCAGAAGGAAGCCAUUCAGGUUCUGGAUUGUGCAACCUGGUAUUGUUGAUCCAAUCCGCCAUGUGAUAGCCAGGAGUCUUAUUUGGGCCUGAAUGGCAGAACUGUGGCAAGAAAUCUGGGCGAUUCAGAUGAGAAGUCCAUGAGGCCUUUACUGACAUCGGGAGCAGCUGAUUGCAUUUUCCAAUAAAAUUCCAGGUGUUGAGAUGGGAUUCUUGCUAAGUGUUGGCAACAUCCACAUAUAUGGAGAUUAUUGGUUGUUGUCAGCCUUGUUAAUGAAGAUCUUGCUACAUUAAUAUGCAACUUCCCAUCCUACCUCCUGCCACAAAGAAACUCAAUGCUGAGAAUUUUCCACAUGAAAGUCUGAGCGGGUACUUGGCUUCUCCAGCUCACCACUUCCACUUCCAGAUCUCCAUCUUGGACACCCAACACCAAACCUCAGGGCACGGUCCAUGGCAGCUGAUGUCCACGGAUCUUGUCAUUGGACACUUGUCAGCCUCUUUGAAUCAUCAUAGCACAUCUCCAAUCUAGUUGAACCAUGCUGCUGCGUGGCCAUGCUGCACCUCAGGGCACACCAACAAUUAUCAUUGUAAUGCUGCUGCAAGGACACUUUGCGCACAUGGACAGACAUCCAGCUCACAGAUUGAAUCAGGCUGCAUUUUAGAAUUGUUCAUUUGCUAUCAUAGUACUCACUUGAGCCUACGUGGAUGCUCACAGCAUUUCAGCCUUGUCUUGCCUUGCCUUGUCUUGCCUUGCCCUUUACACUUUGCCACUCAGCCAGAGCUCCGGGUCUGUCAGUACCUCUGUCUUACUUUGCAAUUUAGCUCAUUCACGAAGCCACAAAAGAUACAGAACAUACACAAAAGAUGAAAAGAAGAAGAAAAUAAGCAAACCAAGUUAUCUAGAUAUAGGACACACUUUGAAAGAUCUUAAAAUACAUAGCAAAACAAAGUGUCAUCUCACUUCCCCACAUUAUCUGUCAUGGAAAUUCAAAUCUGCAGAAAUUAUUCAUCUCUAUCAGAUCAUUAGCUUAAAAUUAGCUGAUUCUCCCCAGUUCUUUCAUGUGAGCUAUGAAGUUCUUGUGUAUGCUCAUUCACAAAGCCGAGAGUUAGACUUCCUCAGUUUUUGGUAACCUGCAGAUUUCCACCCAAACGCUGCUAUUCUGGAAGGGGCACAAAAUAAACUUGUUAUUGAUAUAACUAUGCUUUCCCCGAAUUGCUUUAUAUUUAUUUCCAGGAAAUAAGCUAUAUUUUCUUUUGACACCAAUAAGGUCUCCUCUGACCCACCCAAAAACUUGUAAUCUAUGGUUUUCUAAGGUAAAAUCAACCCUUGAUUACAUUGAACCAAAAACAAGCAAUGACUCUCAAUGAAAGACUUCCAUCUUCACUCCAAGGUCUCCCUGCCCUCUGACAUAAAAUGAAUUAGGUCACUGUUUCAGAAUGGCUAUUUGACGAAGGUGUUGAUUUUUUAAAUCUGCAUAAAACUAAUCAACCCUAUGUGUUGCUAUUCUAAAAUCAAAAAUUCUAAUAAUGACAUAUAUAUCAAAAAACAGACAUCUUUCGUCACACUACAAAAAGAUAUACAUGCCAUAAAGUUUAAUGAAACUGAUUUGUGAGAUGGAGGGUUUAUUGUUUAAUGAAUGAUUAAAUAAACUGGGCCUGUAUUCUCUGGGGUUCAGAAGAAAGAGAGGUGAUGUCACUCAAAUGUAUAAAAUUAUUGCAAUGAUCGACAGGAUGGAGGCGAGAAGGAUGUUUCCUCUGUCUUGGGUGUCUAGAACCAAAGUACACUUUAAGAAUAAGGGACAGCCAUUUAGGACCAAGAUGAGGAGGAAUUUCUACGCUUGGAAAUGGUGAACUUUUUGGAAUUCUCUGCUCCAGAGACAUGUCAUUCAUUAUGUUCAAGAUUGAGUUCAAUAGAUUUCUACAUAUUAAAAAAUAGAGGGAAUAUGAGGAUAAGUGCGGGAAAAUGGCAUUGCAGUCAAAGAUCAGCCAUGAUCUCAUUAUAUGGUGGAGUGGGUUGGAGGGCUGAAUAGCCUAGCCCUGCUCCUGUUUCUUACGUUCCUGUGAUAUAGAACCAGGAAAAAAGCAUUGCCCUGUGAAGUUGAAAGUUGAUGUAGUGUAUAGGUACUAAUGAGACCAACAUUGCUUCUAAUCAUUUUCCAUUGAUGACAAUUUUAGUGAAUGAUUAGCAUGUAAAUAUCUUCUGUCUCCUAUAUGUAUUCAUGUACAUUUGCUUAUCAACAUUAAAAUCCUCAUGCCAUUA